UACGUAGGGUGCGAGCGUUAAUCGGAAUUACUGGGCGUAAAGCGUGCGCAGGCGGUUUUGUAAGUCAGAUGUGAAAUCCCCGGGCUCAACCUGGGAACUGCGUUUGAAACUACAAGGCUAGAGUGUAGCAGAGGGGGGUGGAAUUCCACGUGUAGCAGUGAAAUGCGUAGAGAUGUGGAGGAACACCGAUGACGAAGGCAGCCCCCUGGGUUAACACUGACGCUCAGGCACGAAAGCGUGGGGAGCAAACAGG
rnacentral:rRNA from 1 species